rnacentral:rRNA from 1 species
GCAUAUCAAUAAGCGGAGGAAAAGAAACUAACAAGGAUUCCCCUAGUAACGGCGAGUGAAGAGGGAAGAGCCCAAGAUUGAAAGCUGGCGUCUUCGGCGUCCGCAUUGUAAUCUCAAGAAGUGUUUUCCGCUUCGGACCAUGCCUAAGUCCCUUGGAAAAGGGCAUCAUAGAGGGUGAUAAUCCCGUACAUGGCAUGGAGCGCCCGUAGCUUUGUGAUACGCUUUCUAAGAGUCGAGUUGUUUGGGAAUGCAGCUCAAAAUGGGUGGUAAAUGCCAUCUAAGGCUAAAUAUUGGGGAGAGACCGAUAGCGAACAAGUACAGUGAUGGAAAGAUGAAAAGAACUUUGAAAAGAGAGUUAAACAGUACGUGAAAUUGCCAAAAGGGAAGGGUAGGAGGUCAGAGAUGCGUCUUGGGAUUCAGCCUUGCUUUUGCCUGGUGUUUUUCCCAAGCUGCAGGCCAACGUCGGUUUUGGGCACUGGAGAAGGGUAGGAGGAACGUGGCACCUCUCGGGGUGUGUUAUAGCCUCCUACUGGAUACAGCGACCGAGACCGAGGAACGCAGCGUACUCGUAAGAGCGGGCCUUUUGGCACCUUUACGCUUAGGGCGUUGGCAUAAUGGCCCUCUACCACCCGUCUUGAAACACGGACC